rnacentral:tRNA from 1 species
UGGGGUAUAGCUCAAGUGGGAGAGUGUAUGCUUAGCAUGCAUGAGGUCCUAGGUUCAAUCCUCAGUACCUCCA